rnacentral:rRNA from 1 species
AUUGAACGCUGGCGGCAUGCCUUACACAUGCAAGUCGAACGGUAACAGGUCUUCGGAUGCUGACGAGUGGCGAACGGGUGAGUAAUACAUCGGAACGUGCCUAGUAGUGGGGGAUAACUACUCGAAAGAGUGGCUAAUACCGCAUGAGAUCUACGGAUGAAAGCAGGGGAUCGCAAGACCUUGUGCUACUAGAGCGGCCGAUGGCAGAUUAGGUAGUUGGUGGGAUAAAAGCUUACCAAGCCGACGAUCUGUAGCUGGUCUGAGAGGACGAUCAGCCACACUGGGACUGAGACACGGCCCAGACUCCUACGGGAGGCAGCAGUGGGGAAUUUUGGACAAUGGGCGCAAGCCUGAUCCAGCAAUGCCGCGUGCAGGAUGAAGGCCUUCGGGUUGUAAACUGCUUUUGUACGGAACGAAAAGCCCUGGGUUAAUACCCUGGGGUCAUGACAGUACCGUAAGAAUAAGCACCGGCUAACUACGUGCCAGCCGCCGCCGUAAGAC